rnacentral:rRNA from 1 species
UACGGAGGGGGCGAGCGUUAUUCGGAAUUAUUGGGCGUAAAGGGCGCGUAGGCGGCUUGAUGUGUCAAAGGUGAAAUCCCUCGGCUCAACUGAGGAACUGCCUUCGAAACUGUCUGGCUUGAGGCCGGGAGAGGGUAGCGGAAUUCCCAGUGUAGCGGUGAAAUGCGUAGAUAUCUGCAGGAACACCCGUGGCGAAAGCGGCGCGCUGGACCACUACUGACGCUGAGGAACGAAAGCUAGGGGAGCAAACAGG